GGGGAAUUUUCCGCAAUGGGCGAAAGCCUGACGGAGCCAGACCGCGUGGGGGACGAAGGCUCUUGGGUUGUAAACCCCUUUUCUCAGGGAAGAAAAAAAUGACGGUACCUGAGGAAUAAGCAUCGGCUAACUCCGUGCCAGCAGCCGCGGUAAGACGGAGGAUGCAAGCGUUAUCCGGAAUGAUUGGGCGUAAAGCGUCCGCAGGUGGCUAUUCAAGUCUGCUGUCAAAGAGCAAGGCUCAACCUUGUCAAGGCAGUGGAAACUGAAAGGCUAGAGUGUGGUAGGGGUAGAGGGAAUUCCCAGUGUAGCGGUGAAAUGCGUAGAGAUUGGGAAGAACACCGGUGGCGAAAGCGCUCUACUGGACCUGCACUGACACUGAGGGACGAAAGCUAGGGGAGCGAAUGGGAUUAGAUACCCCAG
rnacentral:rRNA from 1 species